CUGAAGCUCUGUACAGCAGGACCUUUUUUCAAAAGGCACUACAAAGAUGCCUUAUCAGUCUUUAUAUAUGAUCAUAAUGUGGAGCAUAUAUCAACGGGAUUCUUCAGAGCUGGAGAAGAAUUGCAAUCUCCGAGCACUUUCACAAUCCCGUGAGCAAAAAAGCAGAUUUUUGCUGUUAAGGGAAGUUGGCAGUCAGGAAGAUGGCACCUUGAAGAGAUUAUAACAAACAAUUCCUAUUCCACAUCAAAUUGAGGCCUGUAUGUAAAAAGUCAGCCACCCUCCUGUCAGAGACGGUCCAAAGUUCCCCUCAUUUUUGCCUCACAAUCAUCACAAUGGCAGAGACUAAGAUCCUGAAGACCUUGACUGGAGUUCUGGCCUGUGUGAGGUGGAUGCUCGCCAAGUGAUUGUUUGCAGGUGUGUUUGCUGUACCGCCACACCACACUGCUUUGAGCAGGACAUGGCAAGGAGUGGCUUGCUCUGUACAUUUACACCUGCUUCACGAUACACACUCAUCACAAUAGCCCAUGAAUUUUCUCACCUCUUGGCCAAAUGAACUUUCUGGGGUAACUUUAGUGAUCUCCCACAGAAGAUCCCUCAUUUGCCUCACGACCACCAUCACAGAUGGAGAUUGAAGCUCCCUCCCAAGGACUGAGACCCCUAUAAUCCUAACACAGGGGCGUUGGCCUGACUGAAGUGGGAUGUCUACCAAGUGUUACCUGCAGGUGUGUUCACUGGACCAAGACUGGUUUCCCAUGGUAACCAGUUCCGAAACAAUGGGCUCUGCUCACUGCUGAAGUUGACUUGCCCUGCUUCAGAACAUGGACUGUCUGUACCCAUUUUUCAAUAGGCUCAUUUCUCCAUUGUCUUUUACCUGUUCCCCACCUCAGCAGAGGACUGUAAAAGACCCCUAAGUUAACCAAGACUUUGAGACUCUCCCAGACGGAAACAACAGAUCUAUCAGCUGGACCACGAGGAUUUCAUCUCUCCGUUGGUAGCUACAUUGCUAUAUCCCCCUUCCACUCUUUCUCUCUCUAUCCUUCAUUUCCUUUCUAAUCCUUCUAUCACAUUUGCUCUCGGCACUCAAUAAA